AAACCAUAGCGCGCUUCACUUUAUUUUAUUUUUUGGAACCUCCCCCUCUUUCAAACUCCUCCCUAUACAGCAGAACUCAGAAGAACCGUCAAGAAAAUAACCCUCACUAUUGCGCUCGUCCGUCCGCCUCCUUCGCUUGCGUCGUGCUACUGCACUCGCUUCUUCUGCCUCCGUCAUCUUCGCUUGGGUGAAGGCUGCACAAUCUUAGCUUGGUCGCACUUGCUUCUGAGCCCUUCUGUCUGGCAUUGGGGUCCCUUUACGACAUAGAUACCUCGACAAGCUUCAGUUGUGCCGCAAUACAAUGUACACUCGAAAGCCUGAUAUUGCAACAGAUCUAUCAUGGGACGAAUUGAUCCCUAGGUGUUUUAGCGUCAUUGAAUUUGAAUAUGGAAUAUUUUUAGAUGCUUUUUCCACCAAGAUUGGCACUAGAAUUUUUAUACAAAAUUAUACAUAUUGCUUAGCUUGGGGACUCAAAGUUUAAGGUAAACUAUUUGAAAUACAAAGAGUUAAAUUUUAAUAAAAAAGAACUUGUAAGCAUGUAACUAUGUAAGCCCUCAAUUAUAUUUUAUACUAGUGUCUAUCAAGAAGUCGUUACAUUCAAAGAUAUUUUCUAGUUGUUUGCUCGAUCUGGAGUCUACUUAUACUCAUGUGGAACUUUCCAAAUGAGCAAGAAUGUAGAGUUGUGUGGAGUUUGCAAAUUGUCCACAAUCUCUCCUCUCUUUCAGCAGAAAGCAAAAACUAUAUAAGCUGCCAAACGUAAGAGCCUAAAAUAUUGACUUGAUCUUUAUUUUGUUUGGCCUUAUGGGCUGUGGAGGUAGCUCAUUUGGUCAGAUCUUCACUGCUAGCGCAUAUGGCAUGGAUACACUUGGCAGUUUCUUCAUCAUCAUCUUUGGUCUAAUUCUAUUUGGAGACCUGUUAGCACGAAUGCAGGUGACGUUUUCUUAUGUUGUUGCUAGUAUAGACUCUAUUACCUCAAACGUGCGCAACUUCCUUCCACUGAAGGGAAGGAAGUCAGCGUGGAAGGGUAGCUUGGCCAUGCAGUUGCACACUUUGUGAAUAUAUCAGAAUGGUUUUGUUAGUAGAGGAAUUUGCUGCAAUGGUCCGUUGUAGACUCUCAUUACCCGAAUUGCUUUCCAGUGUGACCAUAGUGUUCUAUAAUCGUGUAGUGUUUUGACGUGUUGUCUUGCUACCUUUUGUAUGGUUUUUUUUUUUGCUUCUUCUUUUUUUCUUUUUUAUUAUGGAUAUGCAAUUACAUUCUUUUGGGAUGCUAGAAUGCUUUCAAAAACCAAAAUUACGUGAAUUUAAUUUAGAUUCACGUUUUGCUAUGCUCUUGCAGCUGCUUUAACUUCCACAACUGUUCAAUCGCUUGAAAAGUUCGACUUUCUUAAACUUCAGAAUGGUAGUGAUAUCUGAGGUGUUGUUGUUGGUGGCGUUGAUGGUGAACCUAUUACCUAACAUAACCAGUUUAAGAGGCCAUAGCUGCUGCAUUUGCUUCAUGGCUUUCUGAUAAAAAGAAAGUUGAUGGUUCCAGGCCCAUGAGCGUUUCCAUUGGUCAUGAUUCUCGAAUUUCAACCUCAAUGCUUCAGGUAUUAAACUGGCAUUUAGAUUGAUAUUUGUCAUUAGAACAAUAAAUUAGUCUUUUGGCUUGGAAAGAUUCUGAAAACCUUGUAAAAU